ACACGUAAGUUGCGAGCGUUGUUCGGAAUUAUUGGGCGUAAAGGGCAUGUAGGCGGUAAUGCAAGUCUGGUGUGAAAUGCCGGGGCUCAACCCCGGAACUGCGUUGGAAACUGCAUUACUUGAGUGACUGAGGGGCAGGCAGAAUUCCUGGUGUAGGGGUGAAAUCUGUAGAUAUCAGGAAGAAUACCGAUGGCGAAGGCAGCCUGCCAGCAGAUGACUGACGCUGAGGUGCGAAGGUGCGGGGAGCAAACAGGAUUAGAUACCCUGGUAGUCCGCACAGUCAACUAUGUACACUGGAUGUCUGGACAGAAGUCUGGGUGUCGAAGCAAACGCGAUAAGUGUACCGCCUGGGGAGUAUGCCCGCAAGGGUGAAACUCAAAUGAAUUGACGGGG
rnacentral:rRNA from 1 species